AUUGAACGCUGGCGGCAGGCUUAACACAUGCAAGUCGAGCGGGGUGAUGGUGCUUGCACUAUCACUUAGCGGCGGACGGGUGAGUAAUGCUUAGGAAUCUGCCUAUUAGUGGGGGACAACAUCUCGAAAGGGAUGCUAAUACCGCAUACGUCCUACGGGAGAAAGCAGGGGAUCACUUGUGACCUUGCGCUAAUAGAUGAGCCUAAGUCGGAUUAGCUAGUUGGUGGGGUAAAGGCCUACCAAGGCGACGAUCUGUAGCGGGUCUGAGAGGAUGAUCCGCCACACGGGGACUGAGACGCGGCCCAGACUCCUACGGGAGGCAGCAGUGGGGAAUAUUGGACAAUGGGGGGAACCCUGAUCCAGCCAUGCCGCGUGUGUGAAGAAGGCCUUAUGGUUGUAAAGCACUUUAAGCGAGGAGGAGGCUCUUUUGGUUAAUACCCAAGAUGAGUGGACGUUACUCGCAGAAUAAGCACCGGCUAACUCUGUGCCAGCAGCCGCAGUAA
rnacentral:rRNA from 1 species